GUCCAUGGCCAUGUCACCCUGAACAAGCCCAAUGUCGGAUCUCGGAAGCUAAGCAGGGUCGGGCCUGGUUAGUACUUGGAUGGGAGACCACCUAGGAAGACCAGGUGCUGUAGGUA
rfam:Pteropus alecto contig35124, whole genome shotgun sequence.